rnacentral:lncRNA from 12 species
CUUGGUUUGGACCAGUUUGCCUGAGCAUCCUUAUUGCAACCAUCUCUGGAAAUGGAAGUUGUCUAACUCAGCCUGUAGUUGGUGGAGGAGCAUCAUCAAGACAGUUUUAUCAUUUUCAA